CCCUUAGAUGUCCUGGGCCGCACGCGCGCUACACUGAGUGUCUGAAAUACGAGUCUGCCUGGUCCGGCAAGGUCUAGGUAAUCGCUAAAAGACACAUCAUGCUUGGGAUAGAUUAUUGCAAAUAUUAAUCUUGAACGAGGAAUUCCUAGUAAGCGCAAGUCAACAGCUUGCGUUGAUUACGUCCCUGCCCUUUGUACACACCGCCCGUCGCUACUACUGAUUGGAUGUUUAAGCGAGGUUCUCGAACUGCUAGCGACUUAGCUUCGGUGAGGUCGCAGUGUGGGAAGUGAACCUAGCUUUGGUGUCUAGAGGAAGUAAAAGUCGUAACA
rnacentral:rRNA from 1 species